rnacentral:lncRNA from 1 species
AACCAUGAAAGUCCCUAUCUCAAGAAACUUGGUCAUCAAUUUCAUAAAAGACUUUGGAAUUAUCACAGGUCAAUAUAUCAAUAGUAAAUUAGAAGAGACUCGUUUUAUUAUAAAUAAAAAUGAUAUGAAUACCACCAUUGGUCACACAUUAACUUAGUUUUCCCUUUGUUUCAUUCUCUCACAAGAAAAACUCAUACAUAAUAAGGAUGGCGUGCACAGAGUUUUGUAUUGAUUUCAAAGGACUUCUGAUGGUGCUACUUCUUGCUCUCACUCUUAUGCUCAUAUGUUCACCUCAACCUAAAAGGAGACUUGUUGUGUGUCGUUACCCUUGACCUUUAAUUUGUUCCCCUCCUCCCUCUCUCUACUCAGAAUCUAUCUAUAUUUUAUCAUUACCAUAUGAUAUGAUAUGAGACUCAUCACCAAUUUCAGUUGAUCUUAAUUUUGUUCUAUGUUGUUGUGUGUAUCGGCUAAAUAUAUUUUAUUCCUUUUGUUUCCUUUCUUUCACUUGCGUGAUUAUAUUGUAUUGUUUGUAUUCAUAGUAGGGAGAUAUUUAGUUUGCUAAGUUCAUUAACCUUGCAUUAAUAAGAAUAAGUUUAGCUACAAAGCAGGUUCUCUUUCAAGCCAAUUAGGAUUAAUACAUGAUUUAUACAUAUCUCAUAUCUCACUUAUGUGCUAAUUCAGUAAAUUCCCACUAUAAGUAAGUUAUUAAGUGAAUUGGAAAUACUAGUGAAAUUUCUUCAAUAAACUCUCAUUAAUGAUGUCUAUUAUAACGGGGUGUGAGAUUUUGAUCUCAUAUAUGGACGCCUAUUAGAUUCAUCAAGAUAUUAAAAUGGAGAUGAAAAAUAUUUUUACCAAUUCCGACUAUGAUGACUUCAUUAGAUGGGAGCCAUCUAUUUUAAGUACAUAUAUCACUAAAUCGACCUAUUAUUGGUUAACUCUUUUAUCAUUACAUCUCGUCAGAUGCUUCUUGUUAUAUAUGUUGCGUGAUUGUUUGAUCCAUAUGAAGAUGAUAUCAAUUUAUUGAUCAAGAUGCAUGCAAAUGGCCAUCAUAACACUAUUUUCUCAUCGGAUGUUUGAUUAUUUGGAAGUAUAGAAACAAUGAAGGGUUUUUUGACAUUAAUCAUCCUCUUUGGUAUAUUCUUAGCCAAAUUUACUCUCCUUUAACUCCACUAAAAAGGUUUUUGGUGGUUCAUCUCUCAUCCAUUAUCCUAGGUUUGUUCAUUGCCACCCCCUCCAAAGAAUGUGACUAGUUAAUGCUGAUGGUAGUUCCAUUGGUAACCCUGGAAGAUAUAGGCUUUGAGAGUCUUAUCGGAAAUUCAGUUGGUGGUUGAAUCAUUGGUUUUGUGGAAAGUUGUGGUUAUACCACUAAUAUUAAUCCUGAAAUUCGUGCUAUUUCAUAUGGAUUGCAACUUAUUUGAUAACAAGGAUUUAUAUACAUCAUUUGCGAGUCAGUUUCUCAAACAACUCUUAUUUGAGAACUAACGUCAAUUUUAGGCUUAAUUGAUCUGUCGGUCCCUUAACUUAUUUCUUUUAUUCAAUUUGGUCUCGUUCUCAAACACGUCCCUUAAUUUAUUUCUUUUAUUCAAUUUGAUCCAAUUUUGAUAAUUUUAAUCCUCUACAAAAACAGACCGUUGGAUUACAAAGGUCUAUCAGAUUUUAUAGUGUAUCACUAACACCUAAUUUAUUUACUUUCUUCUUCUUCCCUCAUCUUCAUCUACACUCAUCCUUUAUCAUCUUCAUUAUUUUUUUCUUCAUCAUCUUCAUAAAACCCAAAAAAAAAAAUCUUCUCUCAAUUUUCCUUUCCUUUUCGGAUCAAACAAACAAAAAUAAUCAAAAUCGUCCGGUGUUCAUCACAUAACCUCAAAAACAUCUAACUCAAAAAGAAAAAUUGAAAAUCUGGGCAUUAAUGUUAUAACCUCAAGAACAUCUAACCCAAUCACUUUGACCCUUCCCUCCUUCAACCCCUUUCCACGUUGGUUGUUAUGAACACCUCCUGCAUAAUAUAUGCAGAUCAAUUAAGCCUAUAUUUAUAAACACCUCCUUAAAAAAAAAUUAUAAACACCAUAUGCUUAAUUAAUUAAUUUUUUUUCUCUCUCUAUUCAGCAUCUUUCUUCUUCCGUCUUCAUUCUUUCUCUGCUUCAACUUCGCGUUUUCACUUCCAAAUCAAAUUUUCUAUUUUCAUUCUCUCCAAAAUCCACUAACCAAUUUUCCCCAAUCGUUAAACGUCAACACUUAUCCUUCACCGAAUUUCAUCUAUUCCAGAAAACCCUAUUCAAUAAUUUCAAAACCCUAGCCCCUUCAAUGGCUUCAAAGAAGAAACAGUCGGAAGGAAUCACUUUGUUAUCCAUGUACAACGACAACAACGACGAUGAUAUGGAAGACGCCGAAGAAGAAGAAGACGUGAAUCGCGGGAAGGAGCAAGUUGAUGUCGCUGAACAAACGGCGGAGGAAGAUUUGGCUCCAAAUAGGUUGUUUUCGCCGGUUCAAGAGCAACAACGCGUGGAAUUGAAGAUUAGUAAGAGUGCCACACUUCCAAUCUUUUCAGUUUGAUGGAUGAUUCAGCUGUUUGAUGGUGUUUUUGCGUAAUUGUUGUUCUUUCCUUCUUCCUCCCUUCAAAUUGGUUUUGCUUCCUCUUGAUUUUGCUCGUUUUGGAUCCAGUUUGUUUGUGAGUGGAGGUGGAGUUUCGGUUGGUAUGGAUUUGGGUUAUGGUUAGAACAACAACAAACAGUGGUGGUUGUAGUUAUGAAUUUCGAACGGCUGGUGAUUGUUUGUGGAUGAAUUUCGAAAUUGUGGUUUUGAAUGAAUUAUGGAAAGUUGUCGGUGUGUUCUUGAGGUUAGAUGUUCUUGAGGUUAGAUGUUCUUGAGAUUAUGUGAUGAACACUGGACGAUUUUGAUUAUUUUUGUUUGUUUGAUCUGGAAAGGAAAAUUGAGAGAAGAUUUAUUUUUUUGGGCUUUAUGUAGAUAAUGAAGAAAAAAAAUUAUGAAGAUGAUGAAGGAUGAAUGUAGAUGAGGGAAGAAGAAGAAGAAAGGAAAUAAAUUAGGUGUUAGUGAUAUACUAUAAAAUCUGAUAGACCUUCGUAAUCCAACGGUCUGUUUUUUUAGAUGAUUAAAAUUAUCAAAAUUGGAUCAAAUUGAAUAAAAGAAAUAAGUUAAGGGACAUGUUUGAGAAAGCUAAGACUUAUGUGACCAAAUUGAAUAAAAGAAAUAAGUUAAGGGACCGGCAGAUCAAUUAAGCCUAAAUUUUAUCGAGGACAGAAUACCACAUACUCACCCUUAGAUUUUUUUUUUUUGCCCUACUUUUUGCCAAAAGACACAUAAAUACCCCACUUUUUCGAAAAAUUGCAGAAAUGCUUUACUUUUUCAGGGGUCUUUGGUACCACUCCACUUGGAGUUGCGGGGUACCCUAAAAAGUGGUGAAAAUUUUGUCCUUAUUAUACCCCUCCACUUGGAGUUGCGGGGUAUUUUCCCUUUUUUUUUUCGAUUUUUUAAAUACCUCUCCAUCUUGACUUGCGGGGUAUUUUGUGGUUUUUUUUUUAAAUUUUUAAAUACCCCUCUACUUGGAGUAGAGUGGUAUAAUAAGGACAAAAAAAAAAAAAUUGAAGCAUCAUUUAUUUACGUUAAUUGCAUGCAUAAAUAAUAAUAAUAAUAAUAAUAAUAAUAAUAACUUAAUUUAAAAAAACUAAUUAAAAUUAUACAACAAAUAAAACACCAUAAAAUCUACAAUUAUUAUGAAACAUGUAAAUCAAUUCACUAAAGGUUAAACUUGUGGUUGGGAUGGAUGAUCUUAGAAAAUUUUCAAUUAGAGAAACUUGAUAAUUUAAAAUAAAAAAAAUGGGCUGUCACUAAUUUUAUAAUUCUUAAACAUGGCUGAGAUCAGAAGAUAUUAAACAAACUAGUACCAACUAGAAAAAUAAAAUAAAAUUACCAACUAGCAAAAAGAAUAUAGAAAUUUAGUAAGCAUUGCAUCAUGCCCUUUCAUUCGGUCAACAAUUGGUGCAACUCACAACCAUGAAAGUUCCUACCUCAACAAACUUCGUCAUAAAUUCAUAAUUAAAAAAGACUUGGAAUUAUCAAUAAAAAAGACUAGUUUUAUUAUAAAUAAAAAUACAUGAAUACCACACUAACUUAUUUUGCUAUUGUAUAAUUUUGGCAAGAGAAGGAUUUACAGACAAGAAAAACUCACACACAAGGAUGGCGUGCACAGAGUUAUGUAUUGAUUUCACAGGACUUCUGAUGGUGCUACUUCUUGCUCUCACUCUUAUGCUCAUAUGUUCACCUCAACCUAAAAGGAGACUUGUUGUGUGUCGUUACCCUUGAACUUUGUUCCCUUCUCCCUUUCUAGUCAGAAUCUAUAUUUUGUUAUUAUGAUGAGACUCUACACUAAUUUCAGUUGAUCUUAAUAUUGUUGUGUAUCAGUUAAAUGUUCAUUCCUUUGGUUUUCUUUCACUUAUGCAAUUAUACUGUGUUCAUAUUGUGAAAAUAUCUAUUUUGGAUUUGGCAAAAUCGCAGUGGUUUACUGUUCUAUCUAUUUUUAAUUUGCUAAAGUUCAAG